AGUGAACGCUGGCGGUAGGCCUAACACAUGCAAGUCGAACGGCAGCACAGGAGAGCUUGCUCUCUGGGUGGCGAGUGGCGGACGGGUGAGGAAUACAUCGGAAUCUACUUUUUCGUGGGGGAUAACGUAGGGAAACUUACGCUAAUACCGCAUACGACCUACGGGUGAAAGCAGGGGAUCUUCGGACCUUGCGCGAUUGAAUGAGCCGAUGUCGGAUUAGCUAGUUGGCGGGGUAAAGGCCCACCAAGGCGACGAUCCGUAGCUGGUCUGAGAGGAUGAUCAGCCACACUGGAACUGAGACACGGUCCAGACUCCUACGGGAGGCAGCAGUGGGGAAUAUUGGACAAUGGGCGCAAGCCUGAUCCAGCCAUACCGCGUGGGUGAAGAAGGCCUUCGGGUUGUAAAGCCCUUUUGUUGGGAAAGAAAUCCAGCUGGUUAAUACCCGGUUGGGAUGACGGUACCCAAAGAAUAAGCACCGGCUAACUUCGUGCCAGCAGCCGCGGUAAUACGAAGGGUGCAAGCGUUACUCGGAAUUACUGGGCGUAAAGCGUGCGUAGGUGGUCGUUUAAGUCCGUUGUGAAAGCCCUGGGCUCAACCUGGGAACUGCAGUGGAUACUGGACGACUAGAGUGUGGUAGAGGGUAGCGGAAUUCCUGGUGUAGCAGUGAAAUGCGUAGAGAUCAGGAGGAACAUCCAUGGCGAAGGCAGCU
rnacentral:rRNA from 1 species